GAUGAAGAACGCAGCGAAAUGCGAUAAGUAAUGUGAAUUGCAGAAUUCAGUGAAUCAUCGAAUCUUUGAACGCACCUUGCGCCCUUUGGUCAUUCCGAAGGGCAUGCCUGUUUGAGUAUCAUGAACACCUCAACUCUUUAUGGUUUUCCAUGAUGAGCUUGGACUCUGGGGGUUUUGCUGGCUCACAGUCGGCUCCUCUAAAAUGAAUCAGCUUACCAGUGUUUGGUGGGUAUCAUGGGUGUGAUAACUAUCUACGCUUGUGGUUUUUCCACCAGGUAACCUUCAGCAGUGGAGGUUCGCUGGAGCUCAUAGAUGUCUCUCCUCAGUGAGGACAGCCCUUUGAAUGUUUGAUCUCAAAUCAGGUAGGACUACCCGCUGAACUUAAGCAUAUCAAUAAGCGGAGGA
rnacentral:misc_RNA from 1 species